rnacentral:rRNA from 1 species
UACGGAGGGGGCUAGCGUUGUUCGGAAUUACUGGGCGUAAAGCGCGCGUAGGCGGCUUUGUAAGUUAGAGGUGAAAGCCCGGGGCUCAACCCCGGAACUGCCUUUAAGACUGCAUCGCUUGAAUCCGGGAGAGGUGAGUGGAAUUCCGAGUGUAGAGGUGAAAUUCGUAGAUAUUCGGAAGAACACCGGUGGCGAAGGCGGCAUCCUGGACCGGUAUUGACGCUGAGGCGCGAAAGCCAGGGGAGCAAACGGG